rnacentral:tmRNA from 1 species
UUCCUUGAGAUUACAGGUCAAAAAUCCUAUCUUAGGUAGGCCGGGCAACCGGCUAUGUCGGUAGAUUGUUGGGUGGAAUAGGCAUUUCGGACCCGGGGGGCAGUACCCCGGCGCCUCCACCACCAGCCGCCGCUUCGAACGGGUUUCGACGGCUGCUGAUGGGGGCGAAAUAGGAUCGACGAGUGCAAUAAAGGCCUGAUUGCCGAUCGGAUUGAGCCACCGUGACGGUUCAUUCACACAAGUGCCAACGAUAACGAGGCGCUCGCUAUUGCUGCGUAACUGACGGCCUAACGGUCUGAAGUUACAAAGCUAAAGCGCGGUUGGACCCCACCGGGCAACAGAAGGGGAUUCCA